UUAUAUAUACUUAUAAAAUUGAUUGAAGUUGCACAGUAUGAAGUUCUGCAAUAUGACAAAUUUAUGCAAAAAGAUACAAACAUUAAUCACAUGCAAGAGUGAAAUAUGAUCUUGUGUAUCAGUGUAUGUAUGUGUUUCAUGUGCAUAAUUACACCAAGCCAUAACUUACAUACUAUGUAUAUAAAACUCCAUUUCUGAAAGCAUUCUGUUUAAAAUCUGUAAUGGGUAAUUGUAAAAAGUAUAUUCACAAACAAAUUUGUUGGAACCGUGCAAAAUUGUGUUUCUAAAUCGUGAAAUCUUUUUUCAAUAUAAUAUGCAAAAGAGAGUCAGUCUAAUACACCCAAACCUGAAUUGGGGCUGAGGUAAGACUCUCCACUAUCACCUCUUCACCACCAUCACCCACCUUAAAUGAAUACCAGAAUGGUACACAUGGAUAUUCUGGAAAUGCUGCUGCAACUGCUCUUGCACCUGCUUCAUUAGUAUAAUGAGACAAUCCAACAAAAAAUUCACGACCUAUAAUAAUCAGUUACUUCUGUUUAAUAAUUUGGUUGCGCGAUGGUUCAUUGGGCCGUGCUAUAAGUGCAAUACCAUUGCACACAACUGCGAUAUCUUCGACAAAAACACAGAGCGGUGAAUUUUCAUCCGGUGGCAUUUCAACAACGUCGAUGUCGAGUUCUCGUAGAAGCUGAGCAAGUGCCAAAUGUUGAGUUCUAGCUUCGUCUAAUGUGACCUCGCCUCUUGUACGAAGCG